CCUACGGGUGGCUGCAGUGAGGAAUAUUGGUCAAUGGACGAGAGCCUGAACCAGCCAAGUAGCGUGAAGGAUGACUGUCCUAUGGGUUGUAAACCUCUUUUAUAUGGGAAUAAAGUGUUCCACGUGUGGGAUUUUGUAUGUACCUUAUGAAUAAGGAUCGGCUAACUCCGUGCCAGCAGCCGCGGUAAUACGGAGGAUCCGAGCGUUAUCCGGAUUUAUUGGGUUUAAAGGGAGCGUAGGGGGAUUGUUAAGUCAGUUGUGAAAGUUUGCGGCUCAACCGUAAAAUUGCAGUUGAAACUGGCAGUCUUGAGUACGGUAGAGGUAGGCGGAAUGCGUGGUGUAGCGGUGAAAUGCUUAGAUAUCACGAAGAACUCCGAUUGCGAAGGCAGCUCACUGGACUGCGACUGACGCUGAGGCACGAAAGUGUGGGUAUCAAACAGGAUUAGAUACCCGAGUAGUC
rnacentral:rRNA from 1 species